GAGUUUGAUCUUGGCUCAGAUUGAACGCUGGCGGCAUGCUUUACACAUGCAAGUCGAACGGCAGCGCGGGCAACCUGGCGGCGAGUGGCGAACGGGUGAGUAAUAUAUCGGAACGUACCCAAGAGUGGGGAUAACGUAGCGAAAGUUACGCUAAUACCGCAUACGAUCUAAGGAUGAAAGUGGGGAUCGCAAGACCUCAUGCUCCUGGAGCGGCCGAUAUCUGAUUAGCUAGUUGGUGAGGUAAAGGCUCACCAAGGCGACGAUCAGUAGCUGGUCUGAGAGGACGACCAGCCACACUGGAACUGAGACACGGUCCAGACUCCUAC
rnacentral:rRNA from 1 species